CGUGGCACGAGGCAUGAAGGUACGGGACAUUCCGGACGAUUCCGGAGAGGGAGCCUGAGAACGGCUACCACAUCUAAGGAAGGCAGCAGGCGCGCAAAUUACCCAAUCCUAAUACAGGGAGGUAGUGACAAGAAAUAACAAUACAGGACUUUUUGGUUUUGUAAUUGGAAUGAGUUAAGUAUAAACCCCUUUACAAGUAUCAAUUGGAGGGCAAGUCUGGUGCCAGCAGCCGCGGUAAUUCCAGCUCCAAUAGCGUAUAUUAAAGUUGUUGCAGUUAAAAAGCUCGUAGUUGGAUUUCUGUUAAUAAUUUAUAUAAAAUAUUUUGAUGAAUAUUUAUAUAAUAUUAACAUAAUUCAUAUUACUAUAUAUUUUAGUAUAUGAAAUUUUACUUUGAGAAAAUUAGAGUGCUUAAAGCAGGCAUAUGCCUUGAAUACUCCAGCAUGGAAUAAUAUUAAAGAUUUUUAUCUUUCUUAUUGGUUCUAAGAUAAGAAUAAUGAUUAAUAGGGACAGUUGGGGGCAUUUGUAUUUAACAGUCAGAGGUGAUUUCUUUAGAA
rnacentral:rRNA from 1 species